CUGACUGCGUACCUUUUGUAUAAUGGGUCAGCGACUUAAUGUGUCGAGCGAGCUUAAGCCGAUAGGUGGAGGCGCAGCGAAAGCGAGUCUGAACAGGGCGCUUUGUUCCGGGCAACCGGAACCAGUUCGACGUAUUAGACCCGAAACCCGGUGAUCUAGCCAUGAGCAGGUUGAAGGUGCGGUAAGACGCACUGGAGGACCGAACCAGGGCACGUUAAAAAGUGCUUGGAUGACUUGUGGGUAGCGGAGAAAUUCCAAACGAACUUGGAGAUAGCUGGUUCUCUCCGAAAUAGCUUUAGGGCUAGCGUCGACAUUAGAGAUUCUUGGAGGUAGAGCACUGUUUGGGUGAGGGGUCCAUCCCGGAUUACCAAUCUCAGAUAAACUCCGAAUGCCAAUGAAUUAUGGUCGGCAGUCAGACUGCGAGUGCUAAGAUCCGUAGUCGAAAGGGAAACAGCCCAGACCACCAGCUAAGGUCCCAAAAUAAUUGUUAAGUGGAAAAGGAUGUGGGGUUGCACAGACAACUAGGAUGUUAGCUUAGAAGCAGCUAUUCAUUCAAAGAGUGCGUAAUAGCUCACUAGUCGAGUGACCCUGCGCCGAAAAUGUACCGGGGCUAAAACAAUUUACCGAAGCUGUGGAUACCUUUAUAGGUAUGGUAGGAGAGCGUUCUAUGUGUGAUGAAGGUGUACCGUGAGGAGUGCUGGAACGCAUAGAAGUGAGAAUGCCGGUAUGAGUAGCGAAAGACAGGUGAGAAUCCUGUCCACCGUAAGACUAAGGUUUCCAGGGGAAGGCUCGUCCGCCCUGGGUUAGUCGGGACCUAAGGAGAGACCGAAAGGUGUAUCCGAUGGACAACAGGUUGAUAUUCCUGUACUAGAGUAUGUAGUGAUGGAGGGACGCAGUAGGCUAACUAAAGCAGACGAUUGGAAGUGUCUGUCUAAGCAGUGAGGUGUGAUAUGAGUCAAAUGCUUAUAUCUAUAACAUUGAGCUGUGAUGGGGAGCGAAGUUUAGUAGCGAAGUUAGUGACGUCACACUGCCAAGAAAAGCUUCUAGCGUUUAAACAUACUCUACCCGUACCGCAAACCGACACAGGUGGGUGAGGAGAGUAUCCUAAGGCCAGCGAGAGAACUGUUGUUAAGGAACUCGGCAAAAUGACUCCGUAACUUCGGGAGAAGGAGUGCCAG
rnacentral:rRNA from 13 species